rnacentral:rRNA from 1 species
GGCCUAACACAUGCAAGUCGAGCGGAAACGACACUAACAAUCCUUCGGGUGCGUUAAUGGGCGUCGAGCGGCGGACGGGUGAGUAAUGCCUAGGAAAUUGCCUUGAUGUGGGGGAUAACCAUUGGAAACGAUGGCUAAUACCGCAUAAUGCCUACGGGCCAAAGAGGGGGACCUUCGGGCCUCUCGCGUCAAGAUAUGCCUAGGUGGGAUUAGCUAGUUGGUGAGGUAAUGGCUCACCAAGGCGACGAUCCCUAGCUGGUCUGAGAGGAUGAUCAGCCACACUGGAACUGAGACACGGUCCAGACUCCUACGGGAGGCAGCAGUGGGGAAUAUUGCACAAUGGGCGAAAGCCUGAUGCAGCCAUGCCGCGUGUAUGAAGAAGGCCUUCGGGUUGUAAAGUACUUUCAGUUGUGAGGAAGGGGGUAGCGUUAAUAGCGCUAUCUCUUGACGUUAGCAACAGAAGAAGCACCGGCUAACUCCGUGCCAGCAGCCGCGGUAAUACGGAGGGUGCGACCGUUAAUCGGAAUUACUGGGCGUAAAGCGCAUGCAGGUGGUUCAUUAAGUCAGAUGUGAAAGCCCGGGGCUCAACCUCGGAACUGCAUUUGAAACUGGUGAACUAGAGUACUGUAGAGGGGGGUAGAAUUUUAGGUGUAGCGGUGAAAUGCGUAGAGAUCUGAAGGUAUACCCAGUGG